AGAACGAACGCUGGCGGCAGGCCUCAAACAUGCAAGUCUAGGGGGUGCGCAAGCAUCACCGGCGGACGGGUGCGUAACACGUGGGAAUAUACCUUUCGGUACGGAACAACUGCGGGAAACUGCAGCUAAUACCGUAUACGUCCUAGCGGAGAAAGAUUUAUCGCCGAAGGAUUAGCCCGCGUAGGAUUAGCUAGUUGGUGAGGUAAUGGCUCACCAAGGCUCCGAUCCUUAGCUGUUCUGAGAGGAAGAUCAGCCACACUGGGACUGAGACACGGCCCAGACUCCUACGGGAGGCAGCAGUUGGGAAUCUUGGACAAUGGGGGAAACCCUGAUCCAGCCAUGCCGCGUGAGUGAUGAAGGCCUUCGGGUUGUAAAACUCUUUCGACGGGGACGAUAGUGACGGUACCCGUAGAAGAAGCUCCGGCUAACUUCGUGCCAGCAGCCGC
rnacentral:rRNA from 1 species